rnacentral:misc_RNA from 1 species
AUUCGUUAUCCUUUCGUUGACUUCUCGUCCUCCAUAGAAUCGUCUAGCUGGGAGGAAAAAUGCAAGCUUAUUCUGGAUCCAUCGAUGACCGGACAAGCCAACUCAAGGCUUUUGAUGACACCAAAGCUGGAGUCAAGGGCCUCGUUGAUGCUGGAGUUGCAAACAUCCCUCACAUAUUCAUCGAUAACCAUAAUCAAUCCCAGAUCAAGGACAACUCAACUUCAGGUGACCAUAAAUACACCAUACCAAUAAUAGACCUGCAAGGCAUAGAUAAAGAUGCGAGUCUACGAGCUGAGAUUGCUGGCAAAGUUCGAGAUGCUUGCCAGAAGUGGGGUUUCUUUCAAGUGAUCAACCAUGAUAUUCAAUUAAGCGUUUUGGAUGAAAUGAUUCAUGGGAUUCGUAGAUUCCAUGAGCAAGACAAUGAAGUGAAAAAAGAGUGGUAUUCAAGAGACUACGCCGGAAGGAAAGUAUGUUUCAAUUCCAAUUUUGAUCUUUAUAGUUCACCGCAGCUGCUAAUUGGAGGGAUACCCUGAGAAGCGUCAUGGCUCCUCAUCCACCUAAUCCACAAGAUUUGCCUCAAGUAUGCAGAGAUAUAAUGAUAGAUUACUCGAACAAGACAACAACAUUAGCACAUACGCUAUUUGAAUUGCUGUCAGAAGCUCUGGGGCUGGAUCCCAACUACCUUAAAAAUAUAGGCUGCGCAGAGGGACUACUCUUUCUAGGUCAUUACUACCCAGCUUGCCCUGAACCAGAGUUGACAAUGGGCAUUGGUAGCCAUUCUGAUAAUAGCUUCCUUACUGUGCUUCUACAAGAUCAAAUUGGCGGCCUGCAAGUGCUUUGUGGAAAUGAAUGGAUUGAUGUCCCACCAACUCCAGGAGCACUUGUAAUAAACCUUGGAGAUUUGUUACAGCUAAUAUCUAAUGAUAAAUUUAAAAGCUCCAAACACAGAGUACCUGCGAAACCCGUAGGUCCAAGAAUUUCAGUGGCAUGUUUUUACACACAACAUCGUUCUUUGGAGACAGAGUCAAGGGUAUAUGGGCCAAUUAAGGAGUUGCUAUCGGAAGAAAAUCCACCCGUUUACAGAGAAACGAGUGUGAAGGACUAUUUGUCACACUACUUCUCGAAAGGACUUGAUGGGAUAUCUGCUUUAGAGGCUUUCAAGUUGUGAAAUUGGCUACAAACAUAAGCUUUAUGAAGUAAUCCCUUAAAUAAACUGUGCCUACGUGUGAGUCUACUGCUUGCGGUGCAUACAAGACUAGUACAACUAUCAGGAGGCCGGGGCAGAGGAAGAUAGAGCAAGGCGCCGGAAGCCCUUCUAACCCUAUCAAAUUUACAACUGCAUUUAUAUAGUAGAAAAACAAUAGUUUUUUUUUUUUUUUU